AGCAGCCGCGGUAAUUCCAGCUCCAAUAGCGUAUAUUAAAGUUGUUGCAGUUAAAAAGCUCGUAGUUGAAUUUCGGGAUCAAUAUGUUGGUCGUGCCUCGGUACGUACUGGCAUCGUUGGUUUCUACCUUCUGACGAACCAUGAUGUCAUUAAUUUGGUGUCUUGGGGAAUCAGGACUGUUACUUUAGAAAAAUUAGAGUGUUUAAAGCAGGCUCACGCUUGAAUACAUUAGCAUGGAAUAAUGAAAUAGGACGUUUGAUUCUAUUUUGUUGGUUUCUAGGAUCGACGUAAUGAUUAAUAGGGAUAGUUGGGGGCAUUAGUAUUCAAUUGUCAGAGGUGAAAUUCUUGGAUUUAUUGAAGACUAACUACUGCGAAAGCAUUUGCCAAGGAUGUUUUCAUUAAUCAAGAACGAAAGUUAGGGGAUCGAAGACGAUCAGAUACCGUCGUAGUCUUAACCAUAAACUAUGCCGACUAGGGAUCGGAUGAUGUUAAUUUUUAAUGACUCAUUCGGCGUACCCG
rnacentral:rRNA from 1 species